rnacentral:rRNA from 1 species
UCCGUACGAGCGCAACCCUUGUCCUUAGUUACCAGCACGUUAUGGUGGGCACUCUAAGGAGACUGCCGGUGACAAACCGGAGGAAGGUGGGGAUGACGUCAAGUCAUCAUGGCCCUUACGGCCUGGGCUACACACGUGCUACAAUGGUCGGUACAAAGGGUUGCCAAGCCGCGAGGUGGAGCUAAUCCCAUAAAACCGAUCGUAGUCCGGAUCGCAGUCUGCAACUCGACUGCGUGAAGUCGGAAUCGCUAGUAAUCGUGAAUCAGAAUGUCACGGUGAAUACGUUCCCGGGCCUU